rnacentral:snRNA from 1 species
GUACUCGCUUCGGCAGCACAUAUACUAAAACUGGAACGAUGCAGAGAAGAUUAGCACAGCCCCUGUGCAAGAACGACAUGCAAAUUCAUGAGGUGCUCCAUAUUUUU